UUUUAUGAUGGACUUCAGAAAUCAAACAAGGGAGCAACAGCCAAACAUCUACUAUGACUUUACCGAAUUUUCUAGAAAGUGUUCUGAAAAGUGGAAGACCAUCUCAAAGAAGGAAAAAAAGAAGUAUGAAGCCCUGGCCAAGAGCGACAAAGAUCGGUACCAACGUGAAAUGAGAAACUAUUCCGGACCGAGAAGGGAGAGGAGGAGGAGAGAUGCAGAUGCACCGCGGAAGCCCCCAUCCUCGUUCCUGCUCUUCUCCCAGGACCAUUUUGAGGAGAUAAAAGAACAACACCCAAACUGGACUGUGGCGCAGGUGGCCAAGGCUGCAGGGAGGAUGUGGGCCAGGUGUUCAGAAGCGGAUAAAAUCCCCUACGAGGAGAGGGCUGCGGUUCUGAGGGCCAAGUACCUUGAAGAGCGGGAGGCCUACUACCACCAAUGCCAGCGCGGGGAGUAAAACUUCAAGGGAUGGGGCAAACCCAAUCUGAAACAAUAAACCUCAUUCAACUGGC
rnacentral:lncRNA from 1 species